rnacentral:rRNA from 1 species
CUAACCAUGCAGUCGAGCGGCAGCGGAAGUAGCUUGCUACUUUGCCGGCGAGCGGCGGACGGGUGAGUAAUGUCUGGGAAACUGCCUGAUGGAGGGGGAUAACUACUGGAAACGGUAUCUAAUACCGCAUAACGUCGCAAGACCAAAGAGGGGGACCUUCGGGCCUCUUGCCAUCAGAUGUGCCCAGAUGGGAUUAGCUAGUAGGUGGGGUAACGGCUCACCUAGGCGACGAUCCCUAGCUGGUCUGAGAGGAUGACCACCCACACUGGAACUGAGACACGGUCCAGACUCCUACGGGAGGCAGCAGUGGGGAAUAUUGCACAGUGGGCGCAAGCCUGAUGCACCCAUGCCGCGUGUAUGAAAAAGGCCUUCGGGUUGUAAAGUACUUUCAGCGGGGAGGAAGGCGAUAAGGUUAAUAACCUUGUCGAUUGACGUUACCCGCAAAAGAAGCACCGGCUAACUCCGUGCCAGCAGCCGCGGUAAUACGGAGGGUGCAAGCGUUAAUCGGAAUUACUGGGCGUAAAGCGCACGCAGGCGGUCUGUCAAGUCAGAUGUGAAAUCCCCGGGCUCAACCUGGGAACUGCAUUCGAAACUGGCAGGCUAGAGUCUUGUAGAGGGGGGUAGAAUUCCAGGUGUAGCGGUGAAAUGCGUAGAGAUCUGGAGGAAUACCGGUGGCGAAGGCGGCCCCCUGGACAAAGACUGACGCUCAUGUGCGAAAGCGUGGGGAGCAAACAGGAUUAUAUACCCUGAUAGUCCACGCCGUACACGAUGUCGACUUGGAGGUUGUGCCCUUGAGGCGUGUCUUCCGGAGCUAACGCGUUAAGUCGACCGCCUGGGGAGUACGGCCGCAAGGUUAAAACUCA